UUUAAAGUUAUUAAAAAUGACGGGCGAUAUGUGCAUAUCUAUUUUCUAUUGCAAUAAUGAUUGGUAUUUAUCAUAGUUUUAUCUUAAAUCCUUUUUCACUUUUAUUCUAUUUUUAGAUCUAAAAAUUUUUUAAUGUAUCCCAUUAAGUCUUUAUUAUACACCUCACCUUGAUUAAUGAUUUGAUCUGUUUUAAAAUUUAAAAAAUAAUAUUUUGUUUUUUUGUCACAAUGAUAUAAGUGCCUUAAAUAAAGCUAAUUAUAAAUUGUGGGUUGUCCAUUAUUUUACAGGAUCCUCUAAAUAGUGUAGAUACCGCCAUUUAAAUUAGUUUUCUCUUUCUUUAAGUACUCUCUUUUUAUUUUUUAAAA
rnacentral:rRNA from 1 species